UACCUAGUAGUAUGGGAUAGCCACUAGAAAUGGUGGGUAAUACUGUAUAAUCCCUGCGGGGGAAAGAUUUAUCGCUAUUAGAUGAGCCUAUGUUAGAUUAGCUAGUUGGUAGGGUAAAGGCCUACCAAGGCAGUGAUCUAUAGCUGGUCUGAGAGGAUGAUCAGCCACACUGGAACUGAGAUACGGUCCAGACUCCUACGGGAGGCAGCAGUGGGGAAUAUUGGACAAUGGGCGCAAGCCUGAUCCAGCUAUGCCGCGUGAGUGAGGAAGGCCUUAGGGUUGUAAAACUCUUUCAGUGGGGAAGAUAAUGACGGUACCCACA
rnacentral:rRNA from 1 species